rnacentral:lncRNA from 1 species
AUUAGGUUUUACGCCUUAUUCGAUUGAACGAGAAAAAGUACUCGUCGCAAAGUUAUACUAUUAUGGCGAACUGAGUAGUCUAAUGUAGUUCCGGUUUUCGUUCUUAUGAACGUUGACAUCGAUUCGUUCCAAAUUUACACUCUCGGGGCAUAAUAGAACAAUAUAAUUAGGUUUUACUCUUUAUUCAAUUGAAUGAGAAAGAGUACUCGUUUCAAAGUUAUACUGUUAUGGCGCAACUGAGUCGUCUAAUUUAGUUCCGGUUUUGGUUCUUGUGAACUUUGACAUCGAUUGGUUCCAAAUUUACACUUACGGGGCAUAAUAGAACAAUAUAAUUAGGUUUUGCUCUUUGUUCGAUUAAAUGAGAAAAAGCUCUAGUUGCAAAAUUAUUGUUAGGGCUCAAUUGAGUAGUCUAACGUUCUUCCGGUUUUGCUUCUUGUGAAUGUUGACAUCGUUUCGUUCCAAAUUUACACACUCGGGGCAUUCUCGGGGCAUAAUAGAAAGCUUUUACUUCUUGUUCGAUGGAAUGAGAAAAAGUCCUCGUUGCAAAGUUAUAAUGUUAUGGCGCAACAGAGUAGUCUAAUGUUGUUUCGGUUUUGGUUCUUGUGAACGUUGACAUCGAUUAGUUCCAAAUUUACACUCUCGGGGCAUAAUAGAACAAUAUUAUUAGGUUUUACGCUUUAUUCGAUUGAACUAGAAAAUGUACUCGUCGCAAAGUCAUACUGGUAUGGCGCAACUGAGUAGUCUAAUGUAGUUCCGGUUUUGGUUCUUGUGAACGUUGACAUUAAUUCGUUCCAAAUUUACAUUCUCGGGGCAUUAUAGAAAGCUUUUCCUCCUUGUUCGAUAGAAUGAGAAAAAGUACUCGUUACAAAGUUAUACUGUUAUGGCGCAACAGAGUAGUCUAAUGUUGUAUCGGUUUUGGUUCCGGUGAACGUUGACAUCGAUUUGUUCCAACUUUACAUUCUCGGGGCGUAAUAGAACAAUAUAAUUAGGUUUUACUCUUUAUUCGAUUGAAUGAGAAAAAGUACUCGUUGCAAAGUUAUACUGUUAUGGCGCAACUGAGUAGUCUAAUUUAGUUCCGGUUUUGGUUCUUGUGAACUUUGACAUCGAUUCGUUCCAAAUUUACACUCUCGGNNN